CCAAUUUAAUGCCAAGUUAGUGAACUAGUGAGUAAUUGCUAAUGAACUUGUAAAUAUACAUAUACAUAUACAUAUAUACAUAAUACAUAUGUAUAUAAUUCGUAAUAAGUUUGAUUCCCAAUAGAUAUUUUGAAAUAAUGCAAAAUUAUCGUUGAAUUAUCAUUGAUAUUUUACGCAAGAAAUAGAAAUUUAUACGUGAUGUACUCAUCGAGUCUUGCAAACGGACGAAAGUCCCACCGACCUUAUGAAAUUAAAUCACGGUCGAUGGAGACCUCAUCCGGACACACCGCUCGUGAUUUGUGAUUUUUCCAUCUUCGGAAUUUCGAUUUUGAUCGUUUUAUCAUUUCUUAGGCCAUACGAAGAUGAUGCAUUAUUCUGCAAAAGAAAGAAGAUAAUUUUAUAAUUUUGUUAAUGUCAUGAAAUAAAUUAUAAUGGUAUAAAGCAUAAAUAUUGAUAUUCCUUAUGAUCCUUACGAUUAAUAUUCUAACUUGACUGUUCUACGAAAAGUUCUGCCUCUCACCAAUCACACCGUAAUGUUUUAGACUUUAUAUGUACACAUGCAUUUUUCUCACAUAUGGUUAAAUUUUCACAUACCACUACACAUCUACAUGCAUUCUCUUUAGUCUCUCUCCGUUUGUUACGUUUUAUCGAUGUGCCAUCAUAAACGUUCGUUUCAUCCCAGAUCAUGUUAUCAUUCGGAUAGCUUACCCAACCUGCGCGCGACCAGAUGCACAUAAGCAUACAUACUUAGGUUCGCGAUUACUCCAUACGUACAUACAUCUACGUGUAUAUGUAUAUGUAUAUUAUAACAUUAUUUCAGGUAAAAUUUUAUAUUCUAACAAGUAUUAUAAUUUAUGCGAUAAAUAAUUUUAUUAUAGUUAAUGAAAUUAUUCAUCACAUGAACUAUUACCAAAAAAUUCUACAUAUAGAAAUUAUAUAUAUAGCGCUAUAUACAGGGUGGUUGGUAAUUGAUGGUACAAGCGGAAAGGGGGUGAUUCUACGCGAAAAAAGAAGUCGAAAAUAUAGAAUAAAAAUUAUUUUUUAUUUAUUUUUUUUUUUUAAUUUUUCCAUCGAGACAACGAUCUACAGUGAGAUCCGUUAUAACGUACCGCACGCGUACCGAGCGAAAAUUCAAAGUCGAUUUUCUCGAAAACAAAGCCUCAAACGAAAAAUUUUUAUUCUAUAUUUUCGACUUCUUUUUUCGCGUAGAAUCACCCCCUUUCCGCUUGUACCACCAGUUACCAACCACCCUGUAUAUCAAGAGCAUCGACUAAUUAAUACUUUUAAUUUGAUGAAUCGACCAAUACUUAUAGUUAAAAGACCGUAUUGAUCAUUAAAAAUUUCGUUUGAUUUAAUCGAUGGAUGAAAUUAAUCGUCAAUUGGUGAUUACAAAUUACUUUUACACUAGAAAGAGUUUUAAUAUCUAAUCAUCAAUCUAAUGGACUCUAAUAGUUAAACCUGAUAAUUAAUCUAGUUUUUAAUACAAUCGACAAUUAAAUAUCUGUCUUGACGAUUCUCGCGAUUAUACAAUCUACUAUUUACCUAUAUAUCGGAUUAACGAAAAUUUCAUCGUUAAUUGUUAUUAAUAACAGAUUUAAAAUUAGGCGUUAUUUAAAUAAAAUAUUUGCGCUAGUUUAUUUAAGCAAGAAAAUGUCUUUGCGCUGUACUAUUUUGACUAUCAAACAUCUUAUAUUCUAUUUAAGUAGAUCUUUUUUCAAGUAAUUCUUUAAACGAUAUCCUAUCAAUUGUAACAACGACAACAAAAGUAUAAAUUUCUUUACAGAAAACAUUUUACAUAUACAGGCUCGUACAUCUAUUAUUCAAGGAUAAUCGAAGUAAGGACAGUUCUAAUAAAGAUUUAAAUACCAUUACGUUGUAAAAUAAUCCAGCAAUAUUAUUUGUAGCCCAAACAAAUGCAAAAUCAAAUUAAAUUUGUUUAGGUUCGAUUGUUAAUGAUUGUUGUUCAUAAAACAUGCAUUUCAAUUGUAACUGGUAAAUGUCUAAUACUGCCAUCGAAUAAUUAAGCUUAACGAACGGUGCUUUUUAAUACUUAUUUCGAAUUUAUUUACUGCUUGAAGUCAGAUAGAAGCGCAUCAUUAAUACUACAUUCGAGUAGACUGCAUAUCCAUUUCGUUUUUAACUAAAAUAACCAUUAUUUCUUGAAAUAGAGUCUAAUACGUUCGUAGAUUAUAAUAGAUUUCGUAAUAUGUUUUCGUCGUGAAAGAAGUACAUAUUGAGAACAAUACAUUUACACGUAUCGGUAAAUAUAGAAUAUAUUUAAUCUGUUGCGUAAAAAGUAGAUGUUACUUACUACGUUUAACGCGAAAUAUUUAUUUUACGUGAUAUACUUAAAUAUGUAAUCUUCAUUCAAUAUCCUGUGUCUAUUUGGAUUCCAUACGAAAGUAUUUUAUAUCAAGAGUUUUUAAGGGAUUAGCUCCUUACGUUUCUGCAGAUAUGUACAGUUUCCUUCGCUUUUCCGUUUGUAGCUGUGUGGGAGAAGAAAUCUCGUUCACAAUUCUCAGAAUAUCGUUCAGAUGCGUUAUCAUGAGAGUAAGUAGAUGGUUCCUGAUGGAUGUUCCUGGCGACGUUAUUCGAAUAAUUUCUAAUUCAAGAACGACAAAAUAUGAUUUCGAAAAUAUCAUUUUGAUCAGUAGAUUUCAAAAACUGCUCGACAACAAGAGUAUGAGUUUUGUAUUUUUCAUAGCACUUUUCGCACUUUUUCACGCUGCUUAUGGCAAUUUUUCCGUUUUUUAUUUUUUCUUUAAUUUUUCAACUACAUUCGAAGCACACGAUCGAUGAUAAUUUUAAGCACGAAUGUUCUUGAUUUUUAGCAAAGCAUUUCGGCUUACGACGUUGUCGUCAUCGCCGGUCCCAUUAUCGUAACAUAUGAAUUCACGUGUUACGUAAAUUCCAGCACGAUCCACGCAUCUCUGGCCAAUUAGCGAGCAUCAUUUUUAUCGUAUCGCCACGGUUCAAGAAAAAGUCAUUGACAAAAAUUUGACGAAAUUCUUUUUUGCUACUUUCUAACGAGUCCACUUUGUUAUUUUAUUUAAAUGAAAUAUUUGAAAACUGAUUACUCAUUUAAGUACAUAAUAUGUACAUAUAUCAUGUUCGGCUCCUGUAGUUACAGAUAUGAUAGUUGAAAUAUUUAUGCUGUAGUUUAUUUGUACAAGAAAAUGAUUUUUCCCUCGAUUAUUUGAUUACUUGUUUAUCCAAUGAAAUUGUCUUUCAUUUUAUCUUUCAUUUUCUCUCGAUUAUUUGAUUACUUGGUUAUCCAAUGAAAUUGUCUUUCAUUUUAUCUUUCAUUUGAUUAAAUAAAUUUGAAUAACGAAUAUUAAAGAGAUCCACAGUUUCGUGGAUUGUUUAUGCCGGUAAAUUCCAUGCUUAAGGAAUUGUGUGUAUGAAUUUAUUCAUACAUUAUAUAUGUAUACGUAUUGCAAUACAUCGAGAAUCUUUAUUAAUAUUUUUAUUUGAAUUACGGAGAAUGUAUGUAUGUAUAUGUAGCUAUAUUCAUUUUCUAUUUACCUCUUAAUUUGUGUGAAGACGCUAACUAUGUUCGAGCAAGGAUAUGUCAACUACUACAGUAACAAUACUGUUGUUGUACAAAAUAAUUAACAAAAGUUUCUUUUUGCGAAAUAUCACUACGAUGCUAAAGCAAAUUAAUUCACGUGACGUUACACGAUAUUAUAGCUUUAUGGUAAAUUUGAAUUAUUAAAGAUUUGUGGUAAAAAUAAAAAUAUAGUUUCUCAAUAUAGAUACAUACUAUGCAAAAGAAUAUCAUUCGAAUAAACGAAGAAGUUUGUAACUAUGGAUCCUGUAGUGUCUAAUCUCGAAUAAUUUCGCCUUUUUUCAUGUGUUGCAUGCUUUUUUUACAUUACAAUUGAUAUUAAACAAUUAUCGUUGAAUUGAGGAUAUAUUCGCGAACUUCAUAGAAAACAUAUUUCCUAUAAAUACGAAAUAAAUACGAAAUAAAUACGAAAUAAAUACGAAAUGAUGAUGUUAGUCUUUCACUAGAUUAUAUUUUUUUGCGAUUAUAUGAUAUGAUUAAUGAAUUACUUUUAAUAUCGGAGAAUACACUACUGGAAUUAUCGACUAAUAUUCAUAACUUCUGUAGUAAAGUAAGCUAAUAUAUUGUAGUAGCAAUAGUUAGUUAAGUUAGAUUACCAAAUAAGCGAUCUAAUACAGGAAUAAAAACAAAGAAAUGAGGAAUAAACGAGUGGACAUGCAAUGAAUUUGAGUUUUUCAACAUUACUGACAUCUUUCUUUUAUGAUUCAGUUUUUCCAUUUCUUUUUUCUUCUUGCAUUUAGUUUCUCAUUUGUCAUAUCUACUUUUUCUCUUUCGAAAUGCUACUACCGGAUAAUUGCAUAAUAUAUCUACUUAUUUCAUAGUUUCUGCCAUUCACUAUUACAUUUAGUAUUACAGAGAGUUCAGUUCCUUUUUUCACUUCCUUUCUUUUCUUGACUCGCUUUAAAUAAUUCCAUAUAUACCCCAUAACAUUUAGAUCAGAACUAUUUGAAUAAAAUUCGCGAAUCUGGGGAAAUCAUAAAAAUAUGUUUGUUCAUCGUUAUGAAACUUGUCAAAAUAGGUGGUCUAAGUACCAUAUACAGUAUGUAUGUGCUUACUGUAGUCUACACUACUGCAUAAAAUAGAUAUGCGUGUAUGUACUUGAAAAUCUGACGUUUGAACACGUAAACACGUAAAAAACAAGAAGCUGGAAUGAAAAUUGAUUAUGAGUCAGAAAUGAGGUUUCAAAUCGUACGAUAUACAAGGUGCACCACGUAAUAGUCGCCAUGGUUCUCAAGCAUUUCCGAUAAUUUGACAAAAAUAUGUUCCGAAUAGAAGUUAAUCCGCUUUCAAUUGGUUACAAAUUGUAAUAUAAGAAAUUUUCAGAAUUUGUUUAUUCGACAAAAAGUUAAACUUACUUUUAACUUUUUUACUUUUCUACUUACUCCAACUUUUAGGCUUUAAAUGACAUUGCGUAUUUUGGAAGUGACAUUGUUGUAGCUGAUGUUAAGACAAGUUCAGCGACCUGCUAUACUAUAAUCUUGGCAUGACCGUGAAUCAUGAAAUUAUCCAUAUUAAAAUUUCAAAAUGGAGGGCUUCGACAACAAAAAUAUUAAUUAUCCGCACAUUAUAAAAGAAACAUAAACGGCCUUAUGUCGUAUAGCAGUACCUUUGUGCAUUCAAUUAUGAUAAAUGUUCGAAUUGUAGCUCAUAGUUUUGUAAGCACAAUUUCGAACGAUGUAAUAAAUUCGUAUCGGUUGCUAUUACAAUGCUACCACAACGAAUUUCUUGACAUGUGCGGAUUGAUGUGCGCUGCUGUUUAUGCUCCUUUGGCAAUAAUAUAUAUAGCGUAACAUGGUAUAAUUGUACAUAAUAAUGUACAUAAUAUGCUUAAUAUUUUUCUUAUUGAAGUUUACCAUUUUGAAUUGUGUAAUUUAAUUGAGAUAAAAUAAUUUUUAACGAUAGCAUUUGUCUUGAUUAAGCCGAUAUUCCAACAUUCAUUUCAAGGUCAUAAUACAGUAGGUCGUUGAACUUGUAUCAAGUCAAAAAUACGUAGUGUCAAGGUAUUCUUGGCUCUUUAGCGAAAAAACAAAUUUUGAAAAUUUCUUAUAUCGCAAUUUAUAAGCUAUUGAAAGUUGAUUAACUUGUAUUCAAAACAUUUUUUUGUUAAAUUAUAGAAAUAAAUUAUAGGCCUAAAAAAUCAUGGUGACAGUUAAGUGAUGCAUCCUGUAUAUUAGUCGGAAUAUCCUCUUCAAAAUAUUCAUAAAACUGGCGUAAACCGUAAGAUAAGCAUUCAAAAGUAGGAAGGAUAAUAAAUAGGGUGUAAAUAGAGAUAUAUAUAUAUGAAUAUAUAAUAUACCUACAUACAUAUGUGUCUAUGUAUGUGUAAGCGGUUCUCGAUUGUUCAAUCUUUUUGUUUUGUCGAGCAGAUCGGUCUCGGAACUUUUCUUAGGAGCGGUUACUUGGAGUUUCCGCGUUCCAGGAUCGCACUCAAUUCUAUGGCAACAGGAUGAGAGAAUACUCCGCAUACCGACCGUGGCUGCAUUCCAAACUUAUUCAACUACUAACGCAGUUGUUUGUCCUCAUUUCGAUUCGAUCUUCUCGCUCAUUUCUUUCGAAUUCGAGACAAAUUAUGGUAAAAACGACUAACAACUGUUUGAGUAUUUUUAAGGGCUGUGUACUCUCUGUCUAUCGAUAUUGUGUAACGAUUCAUUUCUUAUAAAACAAUAGGUAUAACGUACUCAAUACUGGGCUCAAUAUUAUGUUCGAUAUAGAAAACAAAGUUUUACAAUGAAAGACGUCGAUUCGUUUUUUUUAUAGUAUAAAUACCUACAGACAUAUAUGUAGGAUAUCAUAUAUAUAAAUAAUCAUUAGUUUUUAUAUGGGUAAACUUUUAUCGAAAAAACCUUAAUCGAGUAAAAUAUAACAAUUAUUUUAAGAAAUAUUUAUUCGAAUAAAAAAUAGAAUACAUAAAAUUAUAAAAUACAACUGGUACUGUCUUCCUGUUUUAUUUUAAAAAAUGUUAAAUGGUUCUCUAGUGUGAUUGUUUUAUAUCAAGGUAUAAAAAGAGUAUAACUAAAGAAAAAACGAGAAAAAGGAAGUUCUGGCAUUUCUAGUGUUAAAAGAAUUCUAUAGAGGAUAAUCGACUUUCAUAGCCCGGUUACAGAAAGGAUGUGGAAGAGCUGAAGUAGAACGUGUCGACAGAAGCAACUGGCACAAAUUUCGAUUACGUUGCAAUCCUAUAUGAAUUCCUGUACAUUUUAAAAACACUCGACAUACAGAUUAUACGAGCGACCCGCUGUAUAGGAACAGCAUCGUCUACACGGAAAAAACAAACGUAUAGCACGAGGCGGUUUUAAAUAACGUCAGCGUAAAAAUUAGAAUUACCGAGUGACGUAUACUUUAUUGAAACAAGUGUUCUUGCUAAAUCUGGCGCGUCACGAUAAUAAGUCGAGUAAAUUGACGCGAACGUUUUUACAUCUAUUUCGAAUACAAUAAUAUGUUGGGCAGAUAAUUUGUAUUGUUGCUAGUAGAAGAACCUUAUCUUAAAACCGUAUCACAUAUACUAAAUGCGAGAAGUUGUUUAAAAAAAUGUAAAUAAGCGUAAUUUGGAAAGUGUAGCAAAAUCAUUGAAAAUACUUAUCUUGGUAGCAUAAGUACAUCGCAGAAGAUUUAGCCACGUGAGCGCGUGGUGUCCGAUUACUGAUGUAGGUGAAAUUUCAUGCUCUUCCUUCGUCUGUUUAAUCUCCGAAAUAAUAAUUACACAUAACAGAAUAAGAGUCGAAUUGAUCACGUAAAACAAAGAUACAAUCACAAGCGUGUAACUAGUUAAUAUAUGUAUAACUGUAUAAGAUUAUAAAUUGGAAUAUCCUUGACGAGUCGCGCACCUGGAACCGGCAAGUGGGUCACUGUCAUUCCCUUUGAACGAUUUUCGAAGAGGAAGUUGCAAGCGAAUAAGGUGUCUCCAUCUCUGGCACGACUGGCACGCUGCUAGUCGCGAAGUUGACGUUGCAAAGUGCUGGAAAGAACUGGCCAACCAGAAGCCAACGAAACAAGAUUCCUGCUAUUUCUUCCUCCUCUUGAGUCCACCGUUGCCUUCUGUUUCCUUGCCUUCCUUUAACUUUCUUCCACUUGUCUUGUGUUGCCUUGUCUUACCUUGCUUUGUCUUGUCUCGUAUCGUCUUGUUUUGCUUUGCCUUGCAUCGCCUUGCCUUGCCUUGUUUCGCCUCACUUUGCUCUGUUAACGUCACCGUAUUUACCUACCUACGCGAUCAUCGUGUCGUAGUUCGUCAUCUAACUUGCGUAGCAUCUGACGUCAUUCGAAAAGUCAACAACGUCAGAAACACCAUAUCAAUAUAUGCAUUAUAAUAUAAGACAUUAGAUAAGGCUUUACGAUGAUUAAAAGCCAUUAAAAUUAAUGAUGAAAUAUCAUACAGUACACAUUAGUUAUAAUGAGAUGUUAUUCGUAUGAUAAUAGUUUUUCGAAUAUUCUACUUGUAUACCUUUUAUAGUUAUAUUUUUUUAUUACAUUUCAUCAAUAUUUCAACUUUUUCUUCCUUUACUGAUUCGUAUCUGAUGUAACGUGAUUGUAACGGUAUAUAUGAUUUUAAAUUACUUACAAUCAUUUAUAUACACAAUGUUUUAGUUCGAUUAGCAAACUGAAUGAUCAAUUGCUACAUGAUAAUAAAAAUAAAAUAAUGUUAUAUGAUAUUAUUAUUAUGAAUAAUACUAAGAUAUUGUACAAAUAACAGUAAAAAUAUAAAAGUUGAUUAUAUAAGAUUCAAUAAGAUUAUAGAAAUUCAUAAUCAAAUGUGAAAUGAUCAGAUAAUUUUGGAGAUGAUGACUGAAGCUUGUAAUUAGCUAUGCGCAUCGUUUUAAUUUAUGUAGUUAGAGACAAAAGAAAAAAUAUUUAGCCAGCUACUUUACUGACAGAAUGAAAAUUUGAAUAUUCAUGGUUUUGGCAUAAAAGGGAUAAAUCCGAAAGAUGAGAAAUUGAUUAGAAAACGUUUGCAAUUUAUUUUCAAUAUCGUAUUUAUCGAAAUUAAUGCAAAAAAGCAGUGUAUACUGUAUAAGAAAUUUAUCAUUAUACAUCAAGAAUGCGACAUCUUAAUAAACAAUCUCUUGUUCUCUUUACUUGCGUGUUUGAUGCAAAAUUGUUGAAUAAUCCUAAAUGUCGAAAUAAAAGUUCAAUAAACGCGCACUUAAAAUUUAAUUUUUCAAAAUUGUAAGCAAUCAAAAAGUACAUAUAUAGUUAAUAUGGUAGAUUCUAUUAAAAAUCUAUGAACGACUUCAAGCUUAAGCUAUCGUGUGAUUAAAAAUUCUUGAGAAAUAGAAAUGAAGAAACGAAGAAAGAGUAAUGAAAGAACGAUAUACGUAAGGGACGAUUUGUGAAUGGGUCAAGAAGUAAAAUUGCGUAUACUUACCGGAUUUGUUAUUGGUUCGAUCGUGUCCGACUGUUCGUCUAUCCGGCUGCUGGUGUUGUACAUACAUACAUGUAUAUAAUAUAUAGCACUGUUAGCUCGGUUAACCUGGCCCAGAAACUAAGCCGGAACUACUGGAGGAAUCAAUGACCUUGGCACGAGUAACGCCAGGAUAUGCGAGGAAGAAAGUUCAAUUCGCAUUUGCUGUGCUAUGGAACGGAAUGAAAAAUUUCACGCGGGCAAGUGAUUAAAUUUUUAUUUGGAAUAAAGAUGAUACAAUAUGAAAGUAGAGAUUUUAAGUUAUAAUAGAAUUUUAAAUAUGUGUCCAAAAAUAAUAGAAAAUUAUGUUUUAAUUAAUUUGCUUCAAUUUUCUAUGUUGUUUUGUUAAUUGGAUUCCUUAAAAUAAAAUAAUUUAAGCCAAGGGAAAUAUAGAAUUUCUUAUUCCUUGAUAUACAUUUCUUUCGUUAUACGACGGGAAACUUUUUAAAGUAAAAAAAUGAAAUUCAUUUUGUUAGUUAUAUUAUCGUUAUUAAUUAGCUAUAUAUUUUAUCGAAAUAUUUUAUUAAUUGAACAUCA